UACGUAGGGGGCAAGCGUUGUCCGGAAUCAUUGGGCGUAAAGAGCGUGUAGGCGGCCAGAAAAGUCCGCUGUGAAAACUCGAGGCUCAACUUCGAGCUGUCGGUGGAAACUUUCUGGCUAGAGUCCGGAAGAGGAGAAUGGAAUUCCUGGUGUAGCGGUGAAAUGCGCAGAUAUCAGGAAGAACACCGGUGGCGAAGGCGGCUACCUGGACCGGCACUGACGCUGAGGCGCGAAAGCGUGGGGAGCAAACAGG
rnacentral:rRNA from 1 species